UACGUAGGGGGCAAGCGUUGUCCGGAAUCAUUGGGCGUAAAGCGCGCGUAGGCGGCCCGGUAAGUCCGCUCUGAAAGUCCAGGGCUUAACCCUGGAAAGCGGGUGGAUACUGCCGGGCUAGAAUGCGGUAGGGGAGACUGGAAUUCCUGGUGUAGCGGUGAAAUGCGCAGAUAUCAGGAGGAACACCGGUGGCGAAGGCGGGUCUCUGGGCCGUAACUGACGCUGAGGAGCGAAAGCAUGGGGAGCGAACAGG
rnacentral:rRNA from 1 species